GUCGGUGCGAUGAUUAUAAGAAAUUCCUCGUCCUGAAUGCCUUGGGCAUGACAGACUACUUCUACACCCAUAGAAUAUGAGCACCG